GACGAACGCUGGCGGCGUGCCUAAUACAUGCAAGUCGAGCGAAGUUUUUCUGGUGCUUGCACUAGAAAAACUUAGCGGCGAACGGGUGAGUAACACGUAAAGAACCUGCCUCAUAGACUGGGACAACUAUUGGAAACGAUAGCUAAUACCGGAUAACAAUAUUUUUCGCAUGAAAGAUACUUAAAAGUUGGUUAUGCUAACACUAUGAGAUGGCUUUGCGGUGCAUUAGCUAGUUGGUGGGGUAAAGGCCCACCAAGGCGACGAUGCAUAGCCGACCUGAGAGGGUGAUCGGCCACACUGGGACUGAGACACGGCCCAGACUCCUACGGGAGGCAGCAGUAGGGAAUCUUCCGCAAUGGGCGAAAGCCUGACGGAGCAACGCCGCGUGAGUGAAGAAGGAUUUCGGUUCGUAAAGCUCUGUUGUUAGGGAAGAAUGGAUAUGUAGUAACUAUACAUAUAAG
rnacentral:rRNA from 1 species